CUUUAUAUGUGGGAUGCCUGCCACAGCGUGGCUUGCUGAGCAGUGCACCCAGGAUCCAAACCGGCAAACCCUGGGCUGCCGAAGCAGAACACGCGAAUUUAACUGCUGUGCCACUGGGUCGGCCCCCAACAAAGACGAAUUUUUGAUGUUGCUUGGCCAUGUCUGGACGCCGUGCCAAGUAGCUCUGCCUCUUCUUUUCUGCUGCUGGGCAGGUGUGGGGUGAGCCCUUGGCACUGCACCCACAGUCCCAGCUCCUCCCUGUGCUUCUCUAAAACCCUCAGGUUCCUCCUUUCCAGAAGGCAGGUGUUACUAAUGUUCUCAUGGAGCAGGUGUGACAGGUCACAUCCGAAAAGUGGGGUUUAGACUCGGCACCUCAGCUUCAAGUCCAUCGUCUUCCAGAUAUGCCGCAGCAGUGCUCUGAACCAACAGAAAUAACGUCUCAAUAAACCAAAAUGAACAUUUACUGAAGACUUUAUUUUUUAUGAGGGGACGUGUGAACUCAACCAAGCCAAGCAAGGAAAUCCCACAAACAAGAAGAGGAAAAGCUGGGCACGGACACACAGAGCAGGAACAGCAUGUGAAGAUGAAGGCAGAGAAAAUGCCGAAGAUUGCCAGCACACCACCAGAAACUACGAGAGAGGCAUAGAACAGACUCUUCGCAGCCCUCGGAAGGAACCAACCUGCUGACACUUUGAUCUUGGACUUCCAGUGUUCAGAACUGCAAGACAAUAAAUUUCUGUUGCUUAAGUGACCUGGUUUGUGGCAGUUUGUUAUAGCAGCCUUGGCAAAAUAAUAUACACACCCCGAAGUAAAUUCUAGGUGGAUUAAGCUGUUAAUAACAAUAUCAUACAUUAAGAGAAGUAGAAAAAUAUACAGUGGAAUAAUUAAUUGAUCCUUGAGCUGGGGAAUGAUGUCUUAACUACUAAAGUGAAUAGAUGAAAUCACAGAGUGGAAGAUUAAUUUUCUUUAUAGUGAAAUCUAUCAGUGUCAUAAAUUAAAUGUUAAGCUGUUGACAAGCUGAGAAAGAAUAUUUGUAAUACAUUUGCAAUAUCCCUAAAUAAAGAGUUGUUAUGAAUCAAUAAUAAAAAGGUAAAUCACCUCUCUA